UACAGAGGGUGCGAGCGUUACUCGGAAUUACUGGGCGUAAAGCGCACGUAGGUGGCGACGUAAGUCGGGUGUGAAAGCCCCGGGCUCAACCUGGGAAUUGCAUUCGAGACUGCAUUGCUGGAGUACGGAAGAGGAGGGCGGAAUUCAUGGUGUAGCAGUGAAAUGCGUAGAGAUCAUGAGGAAGACCAGUGGCGAAGGCGGGUCUCUGGACAGUUCCUGACACUGAGACACGAAGGCCAGGGGAGCAAACGGG
rnacentral:rRNA from 1 species